CAGUAGCCACGGGAACACAGAGGAUGCAAGCGUUAUCCGGAAUGAUUGGGCGUAAAGCGCACGUAGGCGGAUCAGAAAGUCAGAGGUGAAAUCCCAGGGCUCAACCUUGGAACUGCCUUUGAAACUCCUGAUCUUGAGGUCGAGAGAGGUGAGUGGAAUUCCGAGUGUAGAGGUGAAAUUCGUAGAUAUUCGGAGGAACACCAGUGGCGAAGGCGGCUCACUGGCUCGAUACUGACGCUGAGGUGCGAAAGCGUGGGGAGCAAACAGGAUUAGAUACCCGGGUAGUCCCUGUCUCUUAUAC
rnacentral:rRNA from 1 species